rnacentral:rRNA from 1 species
AUAUUGGACAAUGGGCGAAAGCCUGAUCCAGCCAUGCCGCGUGUGUGAAGAAGGUCUUCGGAUUGUAAAGCACUUUAAGUUGGGAGGAAGGGUUGUAGGUUAAUACCCUGCAAUUUUGACGUUACCAACAGAAUAAGCACCGGCUAACCUCGGGCCAGUAGCCUCGGUAAGACGAAGGGUGCAAGCGUUAAUCGGAAAUACUGGGCGAAAAACGCGCGUAGGUGGUUCGUUAAGUUGGAAGUGAAAGCCCCGGGCUUAACCUGGGAAUUGCUCUCAAAACUGACGAGCUAGAGUACGGUAGAGGGUAGUGGAAUUUCCUGUGUAGCGGUGAAAUGCGUAGAUAUAGGAAGGAACAUCAGUGGCGAAGGCGACUACCUGGACUGAUACUGACACUGAGGUGCGAAAGCGUGGGGAGCAAACAGG